rnacentral:rRNA from 1 species
GAUCCAGCUUGCUGGAUGCUGACGAGCGGCGGACGGGUGAGUAAUGCAUAGGAAUCUGCCCGAUAGUGGGGGAUAACCUGGGGAAACCCAGGCUAAUACCGCAUACGUCCUACGGGAGAAAGGGGGCUCCGGCUCCCGCUAUGGGAUGAGCCUAUGUCGGAUUAGCUAGUUGGUGAGGUAACGGCUCACCAAGGCCACGAUCCGUAGCUGGUCUGAGAGGAUGAUCAGCCACAUCGGGACUGAGACACGGCCCGAACUCCUACGGGAGGCAGCAGUGGGGAAUAUUGGACAAUGGGGGAAACCCUGAUCCAGCCAUGCCGCGUGUGUGAAGAAGGCCCUCGGGUUGUAAAGCACUUUCAGCGAGGAAGAACGCCUAGCGGUUAAUACCCGCUAGGAAAGACAUCACUCGCAGAAGAAGCACCGGCUAACUCCGUGCCAGCAGCCGCGGUAAUACGGAGGGUGCAAGCGUUAAUCGGAAUUACUGGGCGUAAAGCGCGCGUAGGUGGCUUGAUAAGCCGGUUGUGAAAGCCCCGGGCUCAACCUGGGAACGGCAUCCGGAACUGUCAAGCUAGAGUGCAGGAGAGGAAGGUAGAAUUCCCGGUGUAGCGGUGAAAUGCGUAGAGAUCGGGAGGAAUACCAGUGGCGAAGGCGGCCUCUUGACUGACACUACACUAGGUGCGAAAGCGUGGUGCAAACGGAUAAUUACCUGUUAUCCCCCCCAAAUGUUACCCCUGGUCCAUCCCUUGUGGAAAUAUACCAAAAUCACCACGGGUGGCCGGUAACAUAUAAUGC